rnacentral:rRNA from 1 species
GGCUUGGUAAGUCGGAUGUGAAAGCCCUGGGCUCAACCUGGGAACUGCAUUCGAUACUGUCAAGCUAGAGUGUGGGGGAGGGUGGUGGAAUUCCCGGUGUAGCGGUGAAAUGCGUAGAUAUCGGGAGGAACAUCAGUGGCGAAGGCGACCGCCUGGCCCAACACUGACGCUGAGGUGCGAAAGCGUGGGUAGCAAAUAGGAUUAGAUACCCUGGUAGUCCACGCCGUAAACGAUGUCGACUAGCCGUUGGAGACCUUAGAGUCUUUAGUGGCGCAGCUAACGCGAUAAGUCGACCGCCUGGGGAGUACGGCCGCAAGGUUAAAACUCAAAUGAAUUGACGGGGGCCCGCACAAGCGGUGGAGCAUGUGGUUUAAUUCGAUGCAACGCGAAGAACCUUACCAGGUCUUGACAUCCAGAGAACUUUCCAGAGAUGGAUUGGUGCCGCAAGGAGCUCUGAGACAGGUGCUGCAUGGCUGUCGUCAGCUCGUGUUGUGAAAUGUUGGGUUAAGUCCCGUAACGAGCGCAACCCUUGUCCUUAGUUGCCAGCGCGUAAUGGCGGGAACUCUAAGGAGACUGCCGGUGACAAACCGGAGGAAGGUGGGGACGACGUCAAGUCAUCAUGGCCCUUACGACCUGGGCUACACACGUGCUACAAUGGCCGGUACAGACGGUUGCGAACUCGCGAGAGGGAGCCAAUCCGAGAAAACCGGUCGUAGUCCGGAUUGCAGUCUGCAACUCGACUGCAUGAAGUCGGAAUCGCUA